UUCCAUUAUCACUAUAAACUCAAUAUGUUUCAAAUGAAUUGCCGAGGAAUGCACCAAAGAAGAAUAUGUCAAGUUAAUUCUGCCAGAACUGGGACCUGUCUUUAAGCAGCAGGAGCCUAUCCAGAUUUUGUUAAUUUUCCUGCAAAAAAUGGAUUUAUUGCUAACCAAAACACCUCCGGAUGAAAUAAAAAACAGUGUUCUUCCGAUGGUAUAUAGAGCCUUAGAAGCCCCUUCCAUUCAAAUCCAGGAACUUUGCCUGAACAUCAUUCCAACUUUUGCAAACCUUAUAGACUAUCCAUCCAUGAAAAAUUCUUUGAUACCAAGAAUUAAAAAUGCAUGUUUACAAACAUCUUCCCUUGCUGUUCGUGUAAAUUCAUUAGUGUGCUUAGGAAAGAUUUUGGAAUACAUGGAUAAAUGGUUUGUACUUGAUGACAUUCUGCCCUUUCUACAACAAAUUCCAUCCAAGGAACCUGCAGUCCUCAUGGGAAUUUUAGGUAUUUACAAAUGUACUUUUACUCAUAAGAAGUUGGGAAUCACCAAGGAGCAGCUUGCUGGGAAAGUGUUGCCUCAUUUGAUUCCUCUGAGUAUUGAAAAUAAUCUUAAUUUCAAUCAGUUCAGUUCUUUUAUUUCGGUCAUCAAAGAAAUGCUUCAUAGAUUGGAAGUGGAACAUAAAACCAAACUGGAGCAACUGCACAUAAUGCAAGAACAGCAAAAAUCUUUGGAUAUCACUAAUCAAAUGAAUGCUUCUGAAGAGACAAAAAUUCCUACUGCUGGUAGUCAGAUUGACAAGGUCUUUAAUAAUAUUGGAACAGACCUUCUAACUGGUAGUGGAUCAGACAAUAAAGAGAAUGGGAUACAAAAUAUGCAGAAAAGAGCAUCACUGACACUUGAAGAGAAGCAAAAGUUAGCAAAGGAACAGGAACAGGCCCAGAAGUUGAAAAGUCAGCAGCCACUGAAGCCCCAAGUCCAUACUCCUGUGGCGCCCAUCAAACAGACUAAGGAUUUGACAGAAACUUUGAUGGAUAACAUGUCUUCUUUGACCAGCCUUUCUGUUAACACUCCCCAAAUUUCGCCUUCUACUAUCUUUUCUUCAGUCCCGAACAUGGGGAUGGGCUUGGCUUUUUCCACACCGGUUGAUAAUACAAAGAGAAGUUUGACAAAUGGCUCAACUGCCAAUAUGGGCUUUCAGACACCAGCGUUCAACCUGCCAACCAGUGCAAACCAGCAUCUCUUCAGCAGCCCGGGCACACCGGCAGCAGCCCAGAUGACUCUGGGUACGCCUUCUAGUUUACCGAACCUGCACAUUCGAAGGGCUUCAGCUGGAAUGUCACAGCAGACCCCUCACAGACCCACUGAUAUGUCUGCUCUGGACAGUCUGUUUGGUCCUCAGAAACCCAAAGUUAGCAUGAACCAGUUAUCUCAACAGAAACCAAACCAGUGGCUUAAUCAGUUUGUACCUCCUCAAGGGUCCCCAGGGACGGGCAGUUCAGUAAUGGGAACACAACUGAACAUGGUAGGACAGCCUGCCUUUGGUUUGCAGGGCAAUCCUUUCUUUAAUCCACAGAACUUUGCACAACCAGCCAAUAUGACUAGUAGCAGCUCAGCUAGCAAUGAUUUAAAAGAUCUUUUUGGCUAAGGCAUCUGGUGUUCAUUUUGAAGAAUUGAUUGCAUUUUAAUCAUGGGUAAGCUGAUUUCCAUCUUGAUAUGUUUGAUUGAAUAUCUGGCUUGGAGGAACUUUUCCCACCGGAAGGAGUCUGAGAGAUUUGGUGGAGGAAAAAAAGGGCGUCCACAUCAGCAUUGUAGUGAUGUAGAAUCCUGUCGUUUGUACGCAUUGAAUGCAGUUUGAUUUGUUCCCUCCUGCCUUCUCCCACAUCCUCUCCUCCUCUCAGUGAUCUGAAGACAUGGCCCUAAACUAGGCUCAUUCAGGGCUGAACACAUUGCUGUCAGUGGCUCAUCAUCAUAACUUGGUAUGACCAAUCAGUGACAGAAAGGUGUCCAUGGCAUUUGCAGAUUUUCUCUGCUCAGUGCUGCCAGAGUUCCCAUGUCACAGCUAUUAAAUCUUAAUUUUAAUUUGUUCUUUCCCUAGUUGCUUGAUUUGAUUUCUGAAUUGGUGUGUUUCUCUAAGUAAAGCAAACUGUAAGUGUAUAGAAAGGAUCAGGUCAUUUGCUUUUCUCAAUCUUUAUGUAUUUGUUGUUUUCGAGACAGUUCUCAGCAAAGAUUGCAAAAUUUCUCAUCUUGCUUCUCAUUGGUUCAAACUGUAAAAGCCUCAUCAUACACCAUUUUCAGUGCAAGACAAUUCAUUGUAAAACCUGGCUGAGCAUGGCCAGCCUCACUGCACAGUUUGUUCCUUCAUUCCCUGGGGAGUGUUUGACAUCCUGAUUCUUUCUUCCUGUGCCCAUCAGAGCAGAGGAGCCCAGGAGAAAGGGCACGGUCACUUGGCACACCUCACUUUUAUGGGCCUUGCCCUGUGUCUUCUUGCCUUCUUAUUAUGUUUGAACUGAAACUUGUGAGGUUGCAUUUUCCAAGGCAGAUUUGUAAGAAUCCAAGUGUAUUUGGUGAAUAAACUUUUAAAAUUUAUGCUGUAUUGCUCCAAAUGUAAUAAACUUUACUUCUCCAAAAAUGA